rnacentral:rRNA from 1 species
UUUUAUUUGAGAGUUUGAUCCUGGCUCAGGAUGAACGCUGGCGGCGUGCCUAACACAUGCAAGUUGAGCGAUUUACUUCGGUAAAGAGCGGCGGACGGGUGAGUAACGCGUGGGUAACCUCCCCUGUACACACGGAUAACAUACCGAAAGGUAUGCUAAUACGGGAUAAUAUAUUUGAGAGGCAUCUCUUAAAUAUCAAAGGUGAGCCAGUACAGGAUGGACCCGCGUCUGAUUAGCUAGUUGGUAAGGUAACGGCUUACCAAGGCGACGAUCAGUAGCCGACCUGAGAGGGUGAUCGGCCACAUUGGAACUGAGACACGGUCCAAACUCCUACGGGAGGCAGCA